GGGGAUGAUCGGUUUCGACGACGGUUGUCGUUCCAGGAGAAGCGGGCCGAGGAUGCAGAGUCAUCUCGUUAACGCCUCUCUGCAAACCUAUAGGUGCCGAUUCCAAGCGCACCGAGUUCGCCCUCGCCGCCUGAGCGAGCCGAACUCCGUCAGCCCGAGCUAGCUCUCGUCUCGGUUCCUGGCGUCAUCUAGAGAGCCACUGGCGUUCGCCCUCGUUGCCGGGGCGCGCGCGACACUAAGGUAACUGGGCCUGUCAGCGACUUGUUCGCGUGAUCGCUGAGGCCGAGAAAAUCGAUAGCGAACUGCGCCCGGAGAAGUCCUGGUGCCGCACCGUCGGACGCGGGUUCGAUUCCCGCCAUCUCCACCU
rnacentral:tmRNA from 1 species